rnacentral:rRNA from 1 species
UCGAUGCAACGCGAAGAACCUUACCUGGGCUUGACAUGUACGUAGUAGUGAAGGGAAACCGGAACGAGCCUUCGGGCAGCGUAGACAGGUGCUGCAUGGCUGUCGUCAGCUCGUGUCGUGAGAUGUUGGGUUAAGUCCCGCAACGAGCGCAACCCGUGUUGCUAGUUACAAGUGUCUAGCGAGACUGCCGGUAACAAGCCGGAGGAAGGUGCGGAUGAUGUCAAGUCAGCAUGGCCUAUAUGUCCAGGGCUACACACACGCUACAAUGGCUGGUACAAAGAGAAGCGAAAGGGAGACCUGAAGCGAAUCUCAUCAAAGCCAGUCAUAGUUCGGAUUGCAGGCUGCAACUCGCCUGCAUGAAGUUGGAGUUGCUAGUAACCGCAGGUCAGCAAUACUGCGGUGAAUACGUUCCCGGGCCUUGUACACAC